rnacentral:tRNA from 1 species
GGUCGCGUAGCUCAGCUGGAUAGAGCAUCUGCCUUCUAAGCAGACGGUCAAAGGUUCGAAUCCUUUCGCGAUCACGA